CUACCUUGUAGAGUUAUUAUAAUGACAGAUGAAACAUGAAAAAGUGCCCAGCUUCCAGCAAGUUCUCAAUAAAUGGUAAUUAAUUAUUGGUAAUUGUCUGCAUUUAAUACUUUUUAUUUGAUAAAGGUGAAACUGUGCUUUUGUCUGAAGAUUUCAUUCAGUAAUGGCCAAAUGAGGAGUUUUGUUCCAUUCCCUACUUCCCUCCCUCUCUGAAAUAAGCUGGCAACAGGAAUUCAGCAUUUGCCAGAUUCCAGUAAGCCCAGCCUCUAACGGAAUGCACACGGGUUGCCGUGUUCUGGCCUGAAUGUCGGUAGUGCACAAAGGUACCACACUGAGAGACCAGGACUUUGCUUUUGACCAGGACAUCAGAAUUGCUAAGGUAAACAUGAGUUGAAGGGUAGCCAGCCUUUUGAAAAGAUUAUGGGAGGCUUGUAAGGAAUCAUAAUUCCUUCGUUAAUUUUCUGUUAGGACCCUUGGUUUUUAAGCUCAGAUUUCAUUUUAGAUAAUUGAUACUGAAGUAAUGAGACUAAAGGUAGCAGAGAGCUCAUAUGACCAUGAAGGAUCAGUUCUUGCAAACUGUCUUUUCUUCUUGCCUUCAACCACAUGAAUCCUUUUCUUCCUUUAAAACCUUCUUUAGAAUUCACCCAAGAGCGGGGAUCUGGGUCUUCUGUUUUAUAGCUUUGUGACUUUGUGAAAAUUCACUUGACCUCCUCAAACUUUUGUUUCCUUGUUUAUGAAAAGGGUUAGCAAUAGUCACCCUUCUUGGGUUGUAGGGCUGUGGGCAGGAUUGAAUGAGGGACAGGUAGGUGAAGGUUCUUGGGCCUGUCAGCAUUAACUCUGAGUCCUAUUGAUGAUCAGUGGUAUGCUUUUGUAGACCUUCAUAUAUUGAAAUUGAUUUGAAAAGUUUGUUUUUGGCACCCAGUCUCCUUUAUCUGUAUCCUUUGCUCUUCCAGGAAUCUGUCCUAUUUCUGUUAGGUGCCCAGAGCCCAGAGUUGCGAGAUGGAAUGAAAUACAUGAUGCCCAGUUCGAUUUGAACUUCAGAUAAACAACAAAUACUUUUCUGCUAUAAGUAUGUCCUAAACAUUGCGUGGGACAUACACUACCAAAGUAUCUCUUGUGCAGAAUUCAGGUUUAACUGGGCAUCCUGCCUUUUUAUUUGCUAAAGCUGGACCUGUGUCCCCCGACCCCAGUAACAAAACAUGCCCAGGAAAAGGAUAUGUUCAUCAUCUCUUUGUCCCACUGAAGGCAGAAGAGGGAGAUUUGCAGUCACUUUAAAAUGGAAGGCUUAGCCCCUUGUUAACACAAUUCCAGCAUUAGCCAGAAGUAGGGAACAUGUUUUUCUGAUGAAUGACCCCUUUCAAGAACCCCUGGAAUCAUGGAGGCAGCCUCCUGCCUGAAAGUUUGAAGUUCAGUCCACACCACUGGCCUGUUCUGUGCCUCAGGACCCCACAGCUUCUCACUUUCCUAGUACUGAGUAUGAGAGCUCUAUUCACAGAAAGUGCAAGUCACUGGCCAUGACCACCUAGCUGUUUUAAAAAUAUUUUUUUCAUUUUAGAAAAGAAUAGCUCACUUAAGUUUUAGGUGCCUGAGUACGAAUUCAUGAUGAUAGCUUUAGGGCUCGUUUCCAUAUCUUUAUUAGCCUUGUUCUCCGGAAUCCAGGGGAUUUAUAUAAGAGUUGUGCAAUGGCACUAAAUACCCUUUUGGGGUGCUCAGAACCAGUUGUCCCCCCACCCCCACUCCUAGUUACUUAUAGAAUAGAAUCUAGCUUCAUCGCUCCAGCAGACAUUCAGGGUCCUAUGUGGCUUGUGUCCAUCCCCUCCCCCAUUUUCUGCUAAGUGGAUCCCGCAUCCUGCAUGCUGGGAGCCUCCUGCACGGUGGCUUGUUUCUCUCAUCCUGUCCAGUAUUUCUUGGUACUCUGAUCUCCGCAUGUCCAUAUUCCUGGAAUACUCUAACCACCUCUCCUAGUCUCCCUCCUCCUUGGGCCUCCUUCCUAGAACUCUCCGGGCUAUAGCUCUUUUGGCCCUUGGAAUCCUGGUAGCUUUUACUGUUUGCACUCUCUACUUAAAAUUAUUGAUGUCUAGUGUUCAUGUUGGGGUAUUCUCUAUCUGUUCUCUUACAGAGGUAGGAAAGAUCCCAGAGAGUAAACACUUGGGCCAAUAUGUGCUAACACUUGACAUAUUGCCUUGUACAUGAUAGAGGUUCGAUUGUUUAAGUAAAUUUUAACAUUAAAUUAUAAUAGUAUUUAACUAAACAGUAGGUGUUCUAUAAACAUUUGUUCUGGAGUGUUCUCCUUCCUUCCAUGACAGUGUGGUAAUAUUUAAAAAUCAUACACACACACACACACGCACACACAUAUCCGUAUGUUAUUUUUAAAAAGGAAAAGGCAAGGGAGGGUGCUGACAUAAUAGGGAGAAUUUUUAUCUUUUACCUUCAUUUCAACAUUAUUUAAAAAAAUCAAUAAACUUUGCUUUUCUUCAAAAGUUUAUUUUUGAGAGAGAGAGAGAGAGAGCGCAAGAGAGCGAGCACAAGCAGCAGAGGGGGAGAGAGAGAGAGAGACAAAGAAUCUGAAGCAGGCUCCAGGCUCUGAACUGUCAGUGCAGAGCCUGACACUGGGCUCAAACCCACGAACUGGGAGAUUAUGACCUGAGAUGAAGUUGGAUACUUAACCAACUGAGCCAGCCAGGCGCCCCUAAACUUUGCUUUUUUUGGAGCAGUUUUGGGUUUACCAAAAAUUUAGCAGAAAGUACAGGCAGUUCCCAUAUACUGCCUCAUUUGCACAUAUAGUUUCCCCUGUUAUUACAGGUGACCCUUGCACAUGAGGGGGUUAGGGACACUGACCCUGUGCAGUUGAAAAAUCUGAGUAUAACCUGACUCCCCCAAAACUUAACUGCUAAUAGCCUGUGAUUGACCAGAUGCUUUACCAGUAACUUAAACAAUAGAUUAACACAUUAUUUGCUAUGUUGAAUAUAUAGAUACGAUAUACUGUAUUCUUACAAAGAAAACUAGAGAAAAGAAAAUGUUAUUAAGAAAAUCAUAGGGAGGAGAAAAUACAUUUAUAGUACUGUACUGUAUUUAUUGAAAAAACCUGCCUAUUAGUGGACCUGCACAGUUGAAACCCAGGUUGUUAAAGGGUCAACUGUAUGUGUAUAUAUUUGACUUGUAAGAAAAGGUGAAAAAGAUAGAGUACAGUGACUGCAUUUUGAAGCAGGUGGCAUCAUGGCUAAAUGCAAAGGCUUUGCACUAGAGGGACAGGUCCCAAUCCUGGUUGUACCACUGAACCAGCUCUGCGUUCCUUUUUUUUUUUUAGUUUAAUUUUGAGAGACAGAGAGCAUGCGAGGUGGAAGGCAGUGGGAGGAGAGAGAGAGGGAGACACAGAAUCUGAAGCAGGCUCCAGACUCUGAGUUGUCAGCAUGGAGCCCAAUACAGGGCUUGAACCCAUGAGCCGCAAUAUCAUGACCUGAGCCGGAGUCGGUCUCACAGGCACCCCUGUGCAUCCUUCUGACAAGUUGUCUAACCUCUCUGAGACUUCAUUUCAUCAUCUAUAAAACAAGAUCAGUAAUAUCUCUCUAAUCGUGUUAUUUGGAAUAAACAAUAUAACGUGUAGCAAAUGCUUAGAAAAGCGCUUAUCACAUGAUAAGCGCACACAAAAUGUUAGCUGUUGUCGCUAUUAUUAUUAUUAUUAUUAUUUUUUUUUAAGUAGGUCUUAAUGCCCAGCAUGGAGCCCAACGCGAGGCUUGACCAUGACCCUGAGAUCAAGGCCUGAGCUAAGAUAAGGGUCGAAUGUCUCAUUGACUGAGCCACCCAGGAGCCCUAUUAUUAUUAUUAUUAUUAUUAUCAUCAUCAUCAUCAUCAUUAUCGUUAUAUUGUAAAAAAUAAAUUGUAGAUUAUGUGGUCUAGGAUUUAUGUUGUGAGAGUGCCUGGUUAGAUUCUGUGUGUUGCAGGGUCUCUAGGGAUUACGGAUUGCUUUCCAUCUCUAUCCAUGACUUGGAUAGAGGGGUUGUUCUAAUUAGAAUGAGUUGCGUAGGAAAUCACUAUGGCUUGCUAAGUUUGUAUUUGCUGCCUGCUUUCAAGCAUUUGUGGGCCAGUAUACAUUCACAAAAGGCUGCAUUCACAAGGUGUUUGUUUAUUCUUUAUUAAUUCGGCUCCACAGGAAUGAGCGGUGUGACCUCAGGGAAGAAAUGUAACUUCUCUGAACGUAGUUCCUGCAACUGUAAAAUGCAAAUAGUCAUAUUGGCUCUGCCUACCUCGUUGGGUUGGAUACUCAUUUUAUAUACUUCAGCAAAAUGAAACAUGUGACACACACACAAGUCAUAGUGAUGAACCACUUUCAGAUUUGGGGAGGGGGGAUAGCAUUUUCAUCCGAAGUUUGUGGAUGAGAAAAUUGAGGACAGUGGUGUCUCCUGGUAGGGACUAGAAUAGAGCUUAGCUCUUAUCUCCUCAAGUGCCUGAUAACACUGAACAGCAUUUGGGUUUCUCAGCCUAGCCCUUUUCACAUUGCCGGGGCUCAAGAUUUAAAAUUGAUCUGCGGGCUUUGUUUCUAGGAAACUGGAGUCUUAGGAGCCCAUCCCAUGUGCAAGAGAACACGUCUCUUUCUCUUUGCUUCCUUACUCCUCCCUGGCUCUUUAAAAUUUUUUUUCUUUAUCACUGCUUAUCAUAUGACUGUGCACAGACAACCGUGAAGCCAACUAUUUUAAGGGGGAAAGGGAGGAAGACAGAUAAGACAGUGAUUCAGAAACAAGCAGGAAAGUGGAGUCAUGUGGUUGUCCCCUUUGUGGGUGGGAUGCAUAGCAGUUUUGUAGACUCAGAAAGCCUCCUGAGUCCCUGGAGAGUAACUGAGGCCCAUCAGGCAUGUGUUUGAAAGCUCUUUCCAGUGCUCAGAGAAGAUUCAGACCCAGACGGAGCACCCUUCACAUGUGGAUGCUUUCACCAGGGGUGUGCUGUUUACUGCUCUCCCUCCUGGAGGUUUGAGCCCUGCCCUGUGCAUGAGGCAGUGCUACGAGGAAUAGGGGCUCCGAAGGAGAGGUCUCCUACCUACACUCAGGAAUAUAAAAAGGAGAAAUGCCUGCUUGAAAAGACUGAUCACAUCAGUUUUAGAAAGGAAAGUAGAUCCUGUCCUAACCUAUUGGUGGAAUGAUAGUGACGCCCACACACAGUAAGGCUGCCUGCCGUGUGCCUUCUCUAAUGGGAUUUGGAUAUUAGGCACGUGAGCAUCAUUUGACACUUUCCAAAUUUAAAUCAGUGAAGAACUUCUAGAAUUUUCAUCGGCUUCUUGUGGAGGAUCCAUUUUUUCAUUUUGCGGGGGAGAAAAGAGGAUCAGGGCAUAUCUUGAGUAGUUUUUCAAACUAUAGGUCAGGACCCAUCAUUUGAGGUCAUGAAAUCCAUUAGGUGGGUCUCAAAUAGCAAUUUUAAAUAUGGAAGCAGUGUAGAACAAUAUCAAAAUUAUCAGAAGGCAUUGCAUACAGUAAGGGUAGAUGUUGCUUUAUAAAGCUUCUGUUUCAGUUUUACUUAUAUGAGUAUUAUUUAUAUGAUCUUAAUACUUACUGUGGGUCCCAAUAAAAAAAAUUUGGGGGGCACCUGGGUGGCUCAGUCAAUUAAGCGUCUGACUUCGGCUCAGGUCAUGAUCUCUCGGUUUGUGAGUUCGAGCCCCGCAUCAGGCUUUGUGCUGACAGCUCAGGGCCUAGACCCUGCUUCAGAUUCUCUCUCUCUCUCUCUCUCUCUCUCUCUCUGCCCCUCCCCUGCUCUCGCUCUGUCUCUGUCUCCCUCUCUCUCUCAAGAAUAAAUAAAUAAACUUAAAAAAAUAAAAAUAAAAAAAUUUUUGAGAAAUAAUGGCCUAGAACACCAAUUUUCAUUUAACAGAACUUUACUUAGUACUAGUAAGAUGCGGAAAACAAAAAAGACAGGGUUCUCUGCUCUCAGUAAGCUUUGAAUGUGCUCAGCCAGACAGUUCCAUAAAGGCAGAUGUGUUAGGAUUGUCCAGGGGAGGAUCCACAAGGAUUUUGUGCAGGAGGUGGCUUCUGAAGAAUGGGUAGGCUAGACUGGUUCUGAAAAACCUGCCCAACGACUCCUCCGUGAGCAAGUCCCGUAACAAUGUAGGAUGCAGAUAUGACCUGAUGAACUGAAAUACUUUAUGUUCUCCAGGAGCACGCCCACCCCCCGCCCUGCCAUCUCCUGAAAUCCCUGCAGAUGGCAUGCAGAAUCACAUAGUGGUGCCUCACGGAUACAUGUUCUCCCUCUUAGUUUGACAUCUCAGAAAAGUAAGACCCAGGGAAGUUAAAUGAUGGAUCGACAGCUGGGGCAGAUGAAUAAGCACCUGCAUUUCUUGGUUGUUAGGAAGAGCUAUUUACUUAUUCUAUAUUUACUAUUUCACUAUUUUAGCUAUUACUAUUUACUGUUUACAUGCCUGGAUAUAUAGUCUCCCAAACACACUGAGUCCAAGAGGCCCAGGGCAUGGUCCAGAAGGUAUUGCUAUCAAUGCCAUGAUACAUUCAAUACCAUUAUGUAUUCUUUUUUUCAUUUUUAUUUUUUUAGAGAGAGAGCAAGCACGAGUCAGGGAGAGGGGCCAAGGGGGAGAGAAUCCUAAGCAGGCUGCACACUCAGCGCAGAGCCCCAUGCGGGGCUUGAUCCCAUGACCGUGGAAUCAUGAUCUGAGCUGAAAUCAGGAGUCGGACACUCAACCAAACUGAGCCACCCAGGUGUCCCUACCUUUAUGUAUUUAUACAUUUAAGCUCUAUUCAAAAGGCAUUCAAAUGAGUCAAAAUUCCUUCCCACCUUCGUCUUUGCUUCCCCUUUCUUUACUUUCUCUCUCUUUUCCUCUUAGGGAUCAUCAAAUCAUCCCUAAGUGGUCGAAAGGCCUAUGGAACAUAUUCCCUCCAAUUGAAAGAAUGUGAAAACUGAUAUCUAGUAACAGAUAUUCAUUAAAUCGUCAUGUACAGAUGGAAAACUAUAAGAGCUCAGAACUUCAGUGAUUUGAUCAAAAUAAAAAAUGCAGUAGAGACAGAAAUUAGGAGCAAACAGGUUUCCCGAUUCCUAGUGAGGUGCUUAUGUAGCUAGCUGGAUCCAAACCAUUAUCCACCUGCUACACUCCCAUCAUCCACUCCCAUCUAUCUGCCCAUCCAGGUUAUCGGUCACAAGUUAAAGCCGAUACCAUGUGUCUGGAACUUUUAAUAAGGAGGCUGAUGGAUAUAUUUAUGCUUCCAGUUUGUUCUCCAGCUGUUGACUGAAGUUGGAACAGUUUAUCAGCUCACCCUUUGGGCUGACAAAAGUGGAGACUUGUCUCUUUUGUUGAGAUAACCCUUCACCUGUCUCUUAGAGGUUGGUCUUUACCUGUCAAAAGGAUAGUAAGAACUGUGAUGAGGGAUGAUUACUUUUUUUUUUUUGUAAGAUUCUCCUUUUUGUUCCUCCCACUUCCAGAAUUCUCUACAGUGUUCGGAUGCAUUUACUUUGUAAUUCAGCCUACUGCAAUGGCCAGAUCCUUCCUCUUAAGUUGGAGCAGGGUUUUCUAAAAUGUCGUCUGCAGAAUAAAAGAAGUAAAUCAAUAAAUGCCAUAAUCAAGUAGAUUUGUGACAUGAUAGAUUAAAUAAAGCUAAACAUUUUAUUGCAUGCCUUCUCAGAGCCUUUAAUAUGCUAAUUUCCAUUAAUCUCCAGGAUGACAGUUUAGUGAAUAGUGUUCUCCAGCUCAUUUGAUCAUGCAACACUGUUUUGGGGAGAAAAGCUGAGGUUGAACAAAUAUUUUUAUAUGAAAAUAGGGGUGCAAAUGGGUCCCUCAUUCGCAAGAUUGUCUAAAUGAUAUUGUAGUAGUUUUUGUUCUGUCUUUAGUCAACGACAUUUAUAAAGCAGUGGCAAAGCUAAUGUUAUGGUUUCUGAGAUUGUUCAUAUAGAAUUACAUGGACUGAGACAGAACCCCAUGGUUCCUCCUCUUUCCUGCUUCAAAUCAGGCUGAAUAUCAUCCAAGUUCAAGUGAACUCUCCCUCCUUCUCCUCAGAAAUCAUCUGUUACUUGGUUGUUGCUACCAAUCAACUCAAUUGUGAAGGCAUAUUUUAAUAUCCCAUUCCCUUAUGUUUAUUAGAAAAGAUGGUGAAAAGCUAUUUGCACAGAUCUGAGUGUGAUCAGAUCUUUGGAGCCGACUUGCAACAAAAAAUGUGAAGGAGGGCAGGAGGCAAAGAUGGACUUCAGGUUUUCAUGCCCUUGAGACCCCCUCUUAGCCUGGGGCAAAGUCAGUGUUCCUGGAUUCCUCUCGCUGAUAAACUCAUUUACACUGAGGUGUAGACACAUAAUAACGAGUUAUACGGGCUGGCAUUUUAGAAGAGUGCUGUAGAGGAUGACAUUUAGGUGACAGCUCUGCCUUGGGAAUUUUUGGAUGGCAGUGGCAGGUGAAGAUAAGUUUUCUGGUCAAGAGAAAUCUUUCAAAGCCAAGCACUCACUUUUACCCAGGCUGUUACUGAGACCACGCUCUAUGUCAAGGGCUAGGCUCAUCAUAGAAGCCCUCAACAGUGGGUCAGGCCCCAACUCACCUAUGCUGAAUGGACAUAUUUCUAGCAUACCUCCCAUUCGAAACACUUGUCCUUCCCCUCUGUGAGGGAUUAGUGCUUUUCCACUUGAAAGGAAAAGCAGGCCAUAAAUUCCUAAGGAAUUUUAUGGGACUGUCCAAAGCACAGAUUGGAAGCCAAGGAAAAAUAAAACUCCAGCUUCUUUAUGGAAAGCUGAAUGGAAAAGAGAGAUUGCUUCCUGAAAAGAGGGAGCCACUGCCUGAAGAAGUGGAGGUGGGGGUGGGAGGGGAGACUUCAGUGAGUCUACAAAAACUCCUCUUCUGGUGUCUUUGGCAAGUUUAUGGGUAUUCUGGGCCUCAUGAUGAUGAACCAGAAGACUCACUUGUCUUCACUCGAGCAGGUGGUUGGACGGCUUGGGAUGGCAAAAGGGAUUACUUUGGUAGCAAGGUUUUUGGGUUUGGAUUAUGCCUGUUAUAGAUCCAGUAUCUUAAUUGACAUCUGCCCCAACAAGGCAGAGAAUUCUCCAGGCCAGACAUGUACCUGAUUCCAAUUGAAUACUGGUUAAAUGUUGGAGAAGGAAAAGAAGGGAUGAAGUGGGAGUUUCUGAGGCUGGCUGACCAAGGGAGAAAGCAGACAGUUUCUGGAGACUGGACUUCAUCAUAAAUUCCAAACAAACGGAACAGUCCGGAAGGUUGUAUAUUGCAAAACAAAAUAGGACCGGCAUGAGAAAGCACUCGGUAGACACGUACCGCGGUCUCCUUUCCAGAAAGUUUCCUCAAAUGGAGAAGACCCGGCGAGCCCCUCAUCGUCUUAACCCAAGCUUUCAACUCUUCUCUGCCCUCCUUUUCCUACAGCGGAUGAGCACGGAGCCGUUUUUAAGUCUUUGCUUUCAUGCUUUUAUCCCAUCUUUUACUCAGGCACUUUUACUGUGACUGCUUUGGGGGAAAUAAAUCCAGUCAUUACACUGUCACUUCUCAUUUUGGAAUUGGAGUGAAUCUCCAUGAAUCAUAACAGUUGCAUUUAAUAAAUUCUUCUGGGUAUUGGCUAAUUUGAAACCGGUCUGACGAGUUUUAAGGUCCGUGUGGUUUGGGGAAAUGCAGCGGUGCAUUUCCUGGUUUGGUCACCCCUUACUCCCCUCCACUCGGGCUCCUUCCGAGAGAGUGGAGAGAGUCAGAGUUGCCAGUUUACUUGGCGCCUUAUCUCGCUUCAUCUUCGGUUGGGAGGAGGGGUUGAGGGGGAGGGGCUGGGCCGAAGGUCAUGCAAGAAGCUGCCAGGCCUCUCACCACUCGGAAUUCCUAGGGGUCUUCAGGGAGCUGGGCCUCCGUGGGAGGCCGCCGUCCACCGGGAAGCCCCAUGCAGCUGGCAGGAAUGGGGCGGGGGCUGGAGAGGGGCAGAUGCUGGUCAUGGAUAUGAAAAAGUAUUUCAGCAUUGGGCUUCUUUUCCUCACACUCACUGCCUCCGCUCCAGGCUCUGACAAGAGAAGCUUCAGCCUGUCCACGUUGCUGUUGUGCCUCGGCUCUAGAGUCAUGGUGGUUAACGGGUGCCAGUGGCUGUUAUUUUUCUGGAAGAAGUUACCGGAGUGGGGAGCUCUUGCGGGCCUUGGGAACUUCGUGGAGCCCCAAGAUGGCUUCACUGGAGGAGAUCACUGCCCGAAUCCUUUCCAGUCUCAGGGUGCCCCCCACUCCUGCCCCUGCUUCUCUGCUGGACGGUCAGCCCGGCUGACAUUUUACAGCUCACCUGUGCAGGGUGGCCCGGCAGCUUGUGUUUUGAUCGUUGUUUGCCUCACAAGGCAAGCAUUCCAGUGACUGGAGUGUUGCUGUGAAAGAGAUUUUUAGAAACCAAAACGAGGGCAACAAAAUCACUUAAGACAUUUUAAUAAUUUCUUAAAUGACACAGAGCCUUUUGCUCGCUUAACACACGCGGUUCAGAAUGACAUCAAUAAGGACUGUAUUUUCACAUCGAGAGGAGAUUGAGUUCAAGACAGGAGAGAAGGAAGGUGCUGCUUGAAAUCGAUUCUGACCCACACACCAAAGCAAAGCCAGGACAUGGCACCCGUGCGCGCAGAUACUGUGGCCUUUGGCAUUCUUUGCUGGACACACCCAAAGUUCCGCUGUGAUGAAAGGCUGUGUGAAGAGGGUCGUGAAAAGCUCACCGCAGGUUCUCAGGAGAUGUGAGGGAGGGCAGCACAUGCCCAUCCUUCUGAUUGUCCGGGGGGGAGGUAUCAAGUGUCUCCAUCCUUUCCUUCUUUCUUCCUGUUUUCCAGGUCAUUCAUGCACUCAUUCCACAAGUCAUUAGGGAGCCCCUGCCAUGUGCCAGACAUCAAGCUAGGCCCUGAGGGUAUAACUAGGAACAGGACAGAUACAGACCGUGACCUCAGAAGGCUUACAUCAAAUUGGGGGCAGAUACACAAAUAGGCAGUUAUUAUAUGGUAUGCGACUUGCUGUGAUGUAUGCCGUGGGGGCAUAAAAGGGGUGCUGAACUAGAUGUGUGGGGGUGGGGGGCGGCUUUUGGGAAAAGGUGACAUUUGAGCAAAGACCUAAAAUGGGAAACUGAAAAUAGUUUAGUGCAGCUGCAUUGUGAAGUAGGGCGGUGGCUGGGGGUGACUUGGAAGCAUGCGGAGGAAUGAAAUCUGUAUUGUCAGUGACUCCUUCCUUCCUUCUUCCUUCUUUCUCUCUCUUCUCUUCCUUCCUUAAGAUUUAAUCCUGGAGGGAUGUCUGGGUGGCUCAGUCAGUUGAAGAGCUCUUGAUUUCAGCUCAGGUCAUGAUCCCAGGGUUAUGGGAUCAAGCCCUGCAUCAGGCUCCGUGCUGAAUGUGGAGCCUGCUUGAGAUUCUCUCUCUCUCUCUGCCCCUCCUCUGCUCACUCACUUACGCAUGCUCUCUCUCUCUCUCCCCCACUCACCAAAUAAAUAAAUACACUAGGGGCGCCUGGGUGGCUCAGUCGGUUAAGCGUCCGACUUCGGCUCAGGUCACGAUAUUGCGGUCUGUGAGUUCAAGCCCUCGUCGGGCUCUGGGCUGAUGGCUCAGAGCCUGGAGCCUGCUUCAGAUUCUGUGUCUCCCUCUCUCUCUGCCCCUCCCCCGUUCAUGCUCUGUCUCUCUCUGUCUCAAAAAUAAAGAAACAUUAAAAAAAAUUUUUUUUUAAAUAAAUACACUAAAAAAAAAAAAAAAAAGAUUUAAUCCUGGGGGAACCUGGGUGGCUCAGUCAAUUAAAUGUUCAACUUUGGCUCAGGUCAUGAUCUCACGGGUUGUCUGUUCGGGCCCUGUGUCGGUCUCUGUGCUGACAGCUCAGAGCCUGGAGCCUGCUUUUGAUUCUGUGUCUCCCUCUCUCUCUGCCCCUCCCCCACUCAUUCUCUCUCUCUCUCUCUCUCUCUCUCUCUCUCUCUCUCUCAAAAAUAAAUAAAACAUUAAAAAAAAAA